rnacentral:rRNA from 1 species
AUACGGAGGGUGCGAGCGUUGUCCGGAAUUAUUGGGCGUAAAGAGCAUGUAGGCGGUCUGUUAAGUCUGGUGUGAAAGCCCGGGGCUCAACCCCGGAAAUGCAUUGGAUACUGGCAGACUUGAGUAUGGGAGAGGAAAGCGGAAUUCCGAGUGUAGGAGUGAAAUCCGUAGAUAUUCGGAGGAACACCAGUGGCGAAGGCGGCUUUCUGGACCAAUACUGACGCUGAGAUGCGAAAGCGUGGGGAGCGAACAGGAUUAGAAACCCUAGUAGUCC